rnacentral:rRNA from 1 species
AUAUUCUCUCUUGAGUGGAUCCUGAGUACGACGGAGCACGUGAAAUUCCGUCGGAAUCUGGGAGGACCAUCUCCUAAGGCUAAAUACUCUCUAGUGACCGAUAGUGAACCAGUACCGUGAGGGAAAGGUGAAAAGUACCCCGGAAGGGGAGUGAAAGAGAACUUGAAACCGUGUGCUUACAAGUAGUCAGAGCCCGUUAAUGGGUGAUGGCGUGCCUUUUGUAGAAUGAACCGGCGAGUUACGAUCUGAUGCAAGGUUAAGCAGCAAAUGUGGAGCCGCAGCGAAAGCGAGUCUGAAUAGGGCGUUGAGUAUUUGGUCGUAGACCCGAAACCAGGUGAUCUACCCUUGGUCAGGUUGAAGUUCAGGUAACACUGAAUGGAGGACCGAACCGACUUACGUUGAAAAGUGAGCGGAUGAACUGAGGGUAGCGGAGAAAUUCCAAUCGAACUUGGAGAUAGCUGGUUCUCUCCGAAAUAGCUUUAGGGCUAGCCUCAAGUGAUGAUUAUUGGAGGUAGAGCACUGUUUGGACGAGGGGCCCCUCUCGGGUUACCGAAUUCAGACAAACUCCGAAUGCCAAUUAAUUUAACUUGGGAGUCAGAACAUGGGUGAUAAGGUCCGUGUUCGAAAGGGAAACAGCCCAGACCACCAGCUAAGGUCCCAAAAUAUAUGUUAAGUGGAAAAGGAUGUGGCGUUGCCCAGACAACUAGGAUGUUGGCUUAGAAGCAGCCAUCAUUUAAAGAGUGCGUAAUAGCUCACUAGUCGAGUGACACUGCGCCGAAAAUGUACCGGGGCUAAACAUAUUACCGAAGCUGUGGAUUGUCCUUUGGACAAUGGUAGGAGAGCGUUCUAAGGGCGUCGAAGCAUGAUCGCAAGGACAUGUGGAGCGCUUAGAAGUGAGAAUGCCGGUGUGAGUAGCGAAAGACGGGUGAGAAUCCCGUCCACCGAUUGACUAAGGUUUCCAGAGGAAGGCUCGUCCGCUCUGGGUUAGUCGGGUCCUAAGCUGAGGCCGACAGGCGUAGGCGAUGGAUAACAGGUUGAUAUUCCUGUACCACCUAGUAGGAUAGGCGAAGCGUGCGAUUGGAUUGCACGUCUAAGCAGUAAGGCUGAGUAUUAGGCAAAUCCGGUACUCGUUAAGGCUGAGCUGUGAUGGGGAGAAGACAUUGUGUCUUCGAGUCGUUGAUUUCACACUGCCGAGAAAAGCCUCUAGAUAGAAAAUAGGUGCCCGUACCGCAAACCGACACAGGUAGUCAAGAUGAGAAUUCUAAGGUGAGCGAGCGAACUCUCGUUAAGGAACUCGGCAAAAUGACCCCGUAAC